GCGGGUAUAGCUCAGUGGUAGAGCACAACCUUGCCAAGGUUGGGGUCGAGGGUUCGAAUCCCUUUGCCCGCUCCA
rnacentral:tRNA from 1 species